CUUGUAUAACCAUAAGAGGUCCAGCCUGCCCAGUGACUCUGUUUAACGGCCGCGGUAUCCUAACCGUGCGAAGGUAGCGCAAUCACUUGUUCUUUAAAUAAGGACUAGUAUGAAUGGCAUCACGAAGGUUAUACUGUCUCCUUUUUCUAACCAGUGAAACUAAUCUUCCCGUGAAAAAGCGGGAAUAACAAUAUAAGACGAGAAGACCCUAUGGAGCUUUAAACUAAGUAACAAAUAUCUUUCACUUAUAAUCUCAAGAACAAUCAAAAUUAACUAGAUAUUAUGAUUACCAGUUUUAGGUUGGGGUGACCAUGGAGUACAAUUCAACCUCCAUGCUGAAAUGACUUAUAAUCUAAGCCACGAAUAACAUUUCUAAGCAUCAACAUCUUGACAUCUAUUGACCCAAUUUUUGAUCAACGAAC
rnacentral:rRNA from 1 species